UACGAGAGGCCCAAACGUUAUUCGGAAUUACUGGGCUUAAAGAGUUCGUAGGCGGCGCAGAAAGUAGGGUGUGAAAGCCCCGGGACUCAACCUGGGAACGGCGCGCGAAACGGGGGGCUGGAGUUCGGGAGAGGAGGCGUGGAAUUCCCGAAGUCGUUAGAGGUGGAAAUUACGUAGAUUAUUGGGAAGAACACCGGGAGGCGA
rnacentral:rRNA from 1 species